rnacentral:rRNA from 1 species
UACGUAGGUGGCAAGCGUUGUCCGGAUUUAUUGGGUUUAAAGGGCGCGUAGGCGGCCUUGUAAGUCAGUGGUGAAAUACUCUAGCUUAACUAGAGGGGUGCCAAUGAUACUGCAGGGCUUGAGUACAGAUGAGGUAGGCGGAAUUGACGGUGUAGCGGUGAAAUGCAUAGAUAUCGUCAAGAACACCUAUAGCGAAGGCAGCUUACUGGGCUGUAACUGACGCUGAGGCACGAAAGUGUGGGGAUCAAACAGG